rnacentral:rRNA from 1 species
AUUGAACGCUGGCGGCAGGCCUAACACAUGCAAGUCGAACGAGGGGCGGACGGGUGAGAAAUGUCGGGGAAAGUCCGCGAGGGGGGGGGAUAAAUACGGAAAGCUGGAGCAAAUACCGCAUACCAACGGAUGUGCCGAUAUGGGAUUAGCUAGUAGGUGGGGUAACGGCUCACCUAGGCGACGAUCCCUAGCUGGUCUGAGAGGAUGACCAGCCACACUGGAACUGAGACACGGUCCAGACUCCUACGGGAGGCAGCAGUGGGGAAUAUUGCACAAUGGGCGCAAGCCUGAUGCAGCCAUGCCGCGUGUGUGAAGAAGGCCUUCGGGUUGUAAAGUACUUUCAGCGGGGAGGCGUUACUCGCAGAAGAAGCACCGGCUAACUCCGUGCCAGCAGCCGCGGUAAUUC